CCCCUCUCAGGCUCGCACCUGGAGAGUUUCCAGUACUCUACCAGUCUUGGCUAUGGGAGGAAGAGUCAAGCAGAGGCCUACCCAUUCCAUUCCCUACCUUGGCCAGUGGCUAGCGAGUGGAAGGCUAUCUGCUACAAGU